rnacentral:rRNA from 1 species
GACGAACGCUGGCGGCGUGCUUAACACAUGCAAGUCGAACGAUGAAGCGGUGCUUGCACCGUGGAUUAGUGGCGAACGGGUGAGUAAUACGUGAGUGACCUACCUUUGACUCUGGGAUAAGCCUGGGAAACUGGGUCUAAUACCGGAUACGACCAAUCUCUGCAUGGGGUGUUGGUGGAAAGCGUUAUGGAGUGGUUUUAGAUGGGCUCACGGCCUAUCAGCUUGUUGGUGAGGUAAUGGCUUACCAAGGCGACGACGGGUAGCCGGCCUGGGAGGGUGACCGGCCACACUGGGACUGAGACACGGCCCAGACUCCAACGGGAGGCAGCAGUGGGGAAUAUUGCACAAUGGGCGCAAGCCUGAUGCAGCGACGCCGCGUGAGGGAUGACGGCCUUCGGGUUGUAAACCUCUGUUAGCAUCGAAGAAGCGAAAGUGACGGUAGGUGCAGAGAAAGCGCCGGCUAACUACGUG